rnacentral:ncRNA from 2 species
AUUUAUACGGGAUACUAUGAAGUGAACUCUAUAAUUUGGGCAUCUGGGGUUUACUGAGUAAGUGAUGCAACCGGCCACUAUUUUA